rnacentral:tRNA from 1 species
GGCUCGGUAGCUUAGCUGGAGAAGCGUUUGUCUAGCGAAUAAGGGUCGUGAGUUCAAAUCUCACCUGAGCUG